GUGUCAGCAGCCGCGGUAACACGUAUGGGGCGAGCGUUGUUCGGAAUUACUGGGCAUAAAGGGCGUGUAGGCGGUUCGGUAAGCCUGGCGUGAAAGGUAUCGGCCUAACCGGUAGAUGGCGCUGGGAACUGCGGGACUGGAGUUUUGGAGGGGGAGCUGGAAUUCCUGGUGUAGGGGUGAAAUCUGUAGAGAUCAGGAAGAACACCGGUGGCGAAGGCGAGCUCCUGGCCAAUGACUGACGCUGAGGCGCGAAAGCGUGGGGAGCAAACAGGAUUAGAUACCCUGGUAGUCCACGCUGUAAACGAUGUGCACUAGGUGUUGGUGCCAUACGGGCAUCGGUGCCGUAGCUAAGGCGCUAAGUGCACCGCCUGGGGAGUAUGCUCGCAAGGGUGAAACUUAAAUGAAUUGACGGGG
rnacentral:rRNA from 1 species